rnacentral:rRNA from 1 species
AGUGAACGCUGGCGGUAGGCCUAACACAUGCAAGUCGAACGGCAGCACAGUAAGAGCUUGCUCUUACGGGUGGCGAGUGGCGGACGGGUGAGGAAUACAUCGGAAUCUACUUUUUCGUGGGGGAUAACGUAGGGAAACUUACGCUAAUACCGCAUACGACCUACGGGUGAAAGCAGGGGAUCUUCGGACCUUGCGCGAUUGAAUGAGCCGAUGUCGGAUUAGCUAGUUGGCGGGGUAAAGGCCCACCAAGGCGACGAUCCGUAGCUGGUCUGAGAGGAUGACACGCCACCCGGGACCUGAGGCCCGGUCCAGCUCCCGACGGGGGGCAGCAGUGGGGAAUUUUGGCCAAUGGGCCAAACCCUGUCCCAGCCAUCCCGGGUGGGUGAAGAAGGCCUUCGGUUUGUAAAGCCCUUUUGUUGGGAAAAAAAAGCAGCAGGUUAAUCCCCCCCUUUUCUGCCGGAACCCAAAGAAAAAGCCCCGGCUAACUUCUU